UGAAAAAAGCCUUCCUGGUCCAUGUUA
rnacentral:piRNA from 1 species